rnacentral:tRNA from 1 species
GCCUGGUUGGCUCAGUCAGUAGAGCAAGUGACUCUUGAUCUCAGGGAUCAUGAGUUCAAGCCCCAUGUUAGGUG